rnacentral:rRNA from 1 species
AUUGAACGCUGGCGGCAGGCCUAACACAUGCAAGUCGAACGAGUGGCGGACGGGUGAGUAAUGUCUGGGAAACUGCCUGAUGGAGGGGGAUAACUACUGGAAACGGUAGCUAAUACCGCAUACCAUCAGAUGUGCCCAGAUGGGAUUAGCUUGUUGGUGUGGUAACGGCUCACGAAGGCGACGAACCCUAGCUGGUCUGAGAGGAUGACCAGCCACACGCGAACUGUGACACGGUCAAGACUCCUACGGAGGGCAGCAGUGGGGAAUAUUGCACAAGGGGCGCAAGCCUAAUGCAGCCAUGCCGCGUGUAUGAAGAAGGCCUUCGAGUUUUAAAGUACAUUCAGCGGGGAGGCGUUACCCGCAGAAGAAGCACCGGCUAACUCCGUGCCAGCAGCCGCGGUAAUUC